rnacentral:lncRNA from 1 species
UAGACGUAGGCCGUUGGCCGAACCACGUAAAUAUCGAUGUACUUUUUUCUUAUCUUUUUGUUUCAUGCAUUAAAUUAUUUUCUGAAUCUAUUUUUCGUCGUUCCGAUUUUAACAAACUGGUAUCAGAGCCUUUCUAUUCCCUUUGAGGAUUAAGAUGACGAUGAAGUUCGAGAUUCAGAAAUUUGACAGGAUCAACAGUUUCGCAUUAUGGCAAGUCAAGAUGCGUGCUGUAUUGACGCAACAAGGAUUGCAGAAGGCACUGUUGGGAAAAGAAAAGAUGUCUGAUUCUUUGACGGUAGAGCAGAAGAAGGAGAUUUGUAAGGAAGUGAAUUUUCAAAAUACGAGAGUUGAACUUCGAUUAGAAUCGACUGAUCGUCGAUUGGGUACCCUUCGGA